UAGCAAGUUAUCUGAGGCCAGAUUUGAACUCAGGAAGACUCAUCUUCCUGACUCCAGGCCUGGAGCUUUAUCCGCUUUGCAACCUAACUGCCCAGGAGAGUGGUCUUUGUACUAGACAUAACAGACUAUGGCUGACUGAGAUGAGUAAGAAGAUAGAGAGCACCUUGAUGAACUCAUCAUCUGCCCCAGAUGGACUCCAUUCUUGGAGUCAAUGAAGUCCAAUGGCAAGACAAAAGUCAAGAUGCCUGUCGAUGGCCUGGAACUGGUGGAUGACCUUGGCCUUUCACUGGAUUUAGGAAAUAGAUCAAGUUUCCCCUACCAAGGGAGUUGAGACUUUGACCUUGGAAGAUGAGGGUCUAUGUAGUCCUGGAUGGGUUGCAAACAGAGAUUCUGAAAAAUGAGACAUUUCCAGCCCUGGUGGUCAUCUUACGAGUUGGAGAAGCUGGGUCAGCUGUUCAGUGGGAGGCCUAUUUCAAGUUUACAUUCCCCUCAACCUCAGUGAGAGGAGAAGGACAUGGUGAUUUUUCUGCUUCCCGAAUGACUAUCACCCUUCACCUUGUGUUUCCUCAUCUGUAAACCGAGCUGGAGAAGAAAAUGGC